GCUUGACUCUAGUUCGACUUUAUGAAAUGACUUGAGAGAUGUAGAAUAAGUGGGAGCCUUUGGACAAAACGAAAUACCACUACCUUUUAUCUUACUUAUCCCAUAGAUCAUAAGCAGGAUAUCGCCUUUUUUUUUCUCUAAGCCCUAGCUCUGCCGAGCCUAUCUGGAUGGAAGCUAUUGUUAUAUGGGAAGUUUGGCUAGGGUGGCACAUCAUCCUAGACGACGAUGCAACUGUUCGACUAGAUCUUUCGCCACACAUCCUUCUACCACCUCCCCUCCCUAUCCAUCCGCCCCUUCUCCAUUAUUAUCCGCCGGACCACAAUAACCCGUGACCGGUCAUGCGAAAAAU
rnacentral:ncRNA from 1 species